rnacentral:lncRNA from 1 species
UGCGGAUUUACGGAUUUCUGCGGAUUUACAGAAGUAAAUCCAUAUCCAAUCCAUUGACUGCGGAUUUUUAAAUUUUCAAUCCAUAUCUAAUCCACCAAUCCACGGAUCGGAUUUAUACGAAUCAGAUUGAGCGGAUCGGACGAAUUGAGCGGAUCGGAUUGGAUUCUGAACUCCCCUAGUGUGAACUAACUUUUAUGUUUAUCUAAACACCUUAAAUUUAAGGCAAAUUAUGGCAUAAAUAAGAAUUAUAACAGAACACUUAUGAUGUAUAGCAAAAGAGUUGUGAUGAAGAUCUUGAAGAAAUAUAAUAUUAGCGCCGAGUUAAGUAACUAAGAACACCCCUGAACUGAAUAAUGGUCAUCAAAAUUGUGUUACUUGCACUUCUAUUUACUAAAAGUUUGGUUAUGUUCCAUUUGAGUUUUUAUCUUCAAAUUUCAAAAUCUUGCUAAGUUUUGACAAUCACAAAGGCUCAGUUUGCUUGUUCUAUAUUUGUAUGAUACGAAUCCAAAUUUUUGUGAUCUAUUUCCUCAAUUUUGAAUACAAAUUCUUUUCUUCUCCUGCGAACCAGAAAGAAAUGUUGUAUUAAAAAAAUGGAAAUAACUUCAUGACAACAAAAAUUAGGAAAAAUAAUAUAAACCAAAUUAGGAUAAAUAAUAUCAUUUUCUAGAGAAGCAGGCAAAAAUGGAAAAUGAUAUUUCAAUUCUUCAAGAUCCCAAAUCUCUGUUUCUAAAUUUUCUUUCAUUUUGCUUCUCGCAUAGAAUCAUUUGGUAUUAAUAAAAUUUUUACUUAUUAAACAAAAGUUAAAAAAAAAAAUUCUAUUCCUGCUGUUAAUCUAUGAAUGGUUUCAUUGUUGGAGUUUCUUUCAGAAGACAAGAAUACUUUGGUUAAGUGUUUGGCUAAGUACUAAAUUAGAGGUUGUUAGAGAGAAGAAAUUAAAAAAAAAAUCCUAACCCUUUAUUCAGUGUUUAAUCAGCAAAUAUUCAACUCAACAUGAAUCUUAAUCAUCUUUAAAAAAAUAUUUUAUUCAAUUUUCUAAUAAUAUUUAUGCAGGUACUAGAAGUUAAAACCCUACUUACAUGGAUGCGUGGCCAUCGGUCCAAUUUUUUUUUAAAAAAAAAAAAAGAGAAAAAAAAUGUAAUCCAUGAAUUUGGUUAAUUUUCCUUUGUUUGUUUCUUUCUGUUCUUCCCCCCCUCUCAAUAUCAUUCCUUUUUGGCAGCCUAAGGACAUUUUCACAAAUACCUUUUGUGCAGAAGUCUUUUAAACCAUCAAUCAGAAGAAACAUGCUUCCAGUGAUACCUCCAAUUAUCAUUGAUGAUGUUAAGUAAAUAAGGGCACCAGCUCAGCCAUGCCAUCAUCCCCACCCCGGGAUGGAUCACCUCAGCCGAAUGGUACGAGCAGAAUACUGAUAAUGAGCCUUCUACAAACAUGGGCCGACCAGAGACAUAUACCGAGCAGAUACCCAUUCCCCAAAAAGCGGGAACACAAUCUCACGAAAUCACGGCAGUUGCGCUUUUCCCAAAAUCAUUGAGGGAGACACGGUGUCCCACGUUUACCCACAAUGUAGCAGUUGGAGUCCCAUGAGGGGCUGCCACUACCCGAGAAAGGGGGGAUGAAGGGUGAACGGAAACGUGGGACAACAGCUAUAAAAGAGGAAGAAACCAAUGAAGAGGAGGAGAAAAAACAGAGAGAGAAGGGAAAACUCUGUCAAAUUAAAACUAGACUGUUGUUCUGCAGAAACUGAGAGUGAGUCGUAAGCCAUUCCGAAAUCUAAAUUAAACCAUUUUCCCGUAAACACCUUGUGCUAACUUAGGCAUCGGAGGGUUUACGCCGGUAAAACUACCGGCGUCUCUGAUUCAUUUUUGUGAAUGCAGGCUUAGCAAGAUAAAAAGGGGUGAUUCCAACCCAGUGACGUAAGCGAUCGUUAAGGCAAGGAGAAAGUGACAUCGUUCCCAUUAAGCAUAUAAGCGUUGGUGGAAGAAUCUGGUCGGGUAAAGGGUGAGCAGAUUUCAGCAUCAACAUUUUGGCGCCGUCUGUGGGGAGCUGGAUAAAAAGCUACCACCAAAUUAGUAGUCAUCGGAGAAGCAGCGAACAAUCGAUUAUGGAUAUAUCAAGGAAGGAUGCCCUAGGUGGCGACAAUGAAACUGGUGAAACAAUCACUCUCCGAGAGAUAGCAAAUGAAGCUAGAGAGAGGAUGAUGCAAGAUCGAAUGGAACGGAUGGAGAAACAAAUGGAAACUCUCACGACCAUAUUGCAUGAGCUGAGGGAUGAGCAGAGAAGGGACUAUGAAACCCCCGUAGGGAGGGAUGAAGUUGAGGCAGAACCCAGCCUCCGGAGGCGUAGAGUCAAGGAAAUCCCUCCACCAGUAGACCAACCCUAUGGGGUGCAUCCCCAUAGAAAUAUUGGUAGGGUUCCAGUAGAGCGCGUAGAUGAAGGGAGAGACCAACCUCGCUCCGGACGAGUACUGGAAAUUGAUGGCCGAUGAGCCAAUGUUGAUGAGGGAGAGCUUAGACAGCGGUUGCAAAAUGCCGAGCAGGAGCGAGAUCAGAUAGCUGCGCGCGAUCCGGACCGUGCUGUAGAAUUGGAGGGUGAGGUGCGCAGAUUGGCGCAGGUGAUGGAGGAGAUUCAGGGCAAGAGAAAGCCCCCGAGUUGGAGGAUAAUGAUAGAUGAAGAGUCUCCGUUAUCAGCCGAGAUCAUGGGUACUUUAAUCCCAAGAGAUUUCCGCUUCCCCGACCUCAAAUACUCCGGGCGAAGUGACCCACUGGUGGAUAUUGAACGCUUCAACGACAUGACGGGUGUGCAGGAACUAACACCAGCUCAGAGGUGCAGGGUGUUCCCAUUGACACUAGAGGGAUGAGCCCAACAAUGGUACCGCAAGCUGCCACGAGGAAGUAUAAAAGGAUACGAGCAGAUGUGCCAAGAGUUGGCCGAGCAGUUCCGAGGAGCAGUAGCCCCAGAGGACGAUACGAUGGAACUGAUAGGGAUGAAGCAGAAGGAACAUGAAUCCCUUCGGGAAUUUGUAAAAUGAUACCACCGGGCCGUGCUUGAUCUGGGAGCUUUCAAUCACCCAUAGGCGUUGAGGGGAUUAAAAGAGGGCGUGAGGAUAGGCCGACUAUGGUACAACUUGAGAAGCCCCCUAGUGCAGAAUUAUUCGGCGGGGUAUGAGCAGGAGAGGAGAGAUAUAGAAAUCGAAGAGGAGAAAUCGGCGAGGAUAAAAAGUGAACAGCUGGAAGAGCUGAGACGAAAGGAAAGGAGAACCCCGAACAGGAGCGGGUCGGGAAAGCGAGCUGGGGAAUCCUCGGUGACGGGCGCAAUAUCAGCUCGGUCUUGCCCUUACCCCAUGGUUCAGAGACCGCAACAGUUCCAACACAGCCGAGCUCCACCUUCGCGCCCCCCAUUCCCGGAGCGGCAACGAGAAUUCCGGCAGUUAGCUGCCCAUCUUUAUCACAACGCCCCCAGGGCACUACAUACAGCCAACUCUAGAGCUGGGCGACCAGGUCAGCUACCUAUAAUAUCAGCUUGGGACGAUAUCCAUGAUAGCCGAGCAGUCCAGCUAAUCGACCAGAGCCUGGCAUAUAGACAAUACACCCCAUUAAAAGUCCCUAUGGAGGAGUUGUACGAGAGGAUCGAGGGACGAGGCCUGCUGUACCCUCCAGCCCUUAUAACAAAACCUGCUCACCGACGUGAUAAGAGCAUAUUCUGUAAAUUCCACGACACUCAUGGUUACACUAUCAGCCAAUGUCGCGACCUAAAGAUUCAGGUGGAGGAUUUGGUGAGGAACCGGUACCUGGAUGAAUACGUAGAUGGAGUGUCCUCCGUCAUUGAAUCACAGUACAUGCGGGAUGAAGGAGUUGAGAGGAGCCUGGAACGUGAACAGCCAACUAUCCGUGUGAUAGCAGGAGGGCCAACAUUGGCUGGGGAUUCGAACCGGGCACGGAAGAACUAUGGGAGAUACGCCAUGACAUGCAAAAAAGUGCUUUUCAAUUUGCCAGCAGCCAAGAGGGCGAAAGUGAGGCAAAUUCCCAUUAUGUGGACAGAUGACGCCGAAGUGGGUAUCUUAUAUCCUCAUGAGGAUGCACUAAUGAUUAAGGCAAUGGUGGCUGGCACAGAAUUACGGUGAAUACUGGUGGACACGGGUAACUCGGUUGACAUACUGUUUAAGUCGGCCCUAAAUGAUAUGGGAAUUUCAGACUUAAAACUAGAGCGAACGAAUACAUCCUUGAAGGGAUUUGGAGGAGGACGGUUAACCCCCAUUGAUCGCGGGGUCGCUUGCCACAAGUUGGCAAUCAGGAAAGGGGUAAGGCCGGUGAUGCAGAAAAGGAGGUGCUUUAACCAGGAAAGGUACGAGGCCAUAAAUGCCGAGGUGGAAAAGCUGUUGAAAGCAGGAUUUAUAAGGGAGGCCAAGUACCCGGAGUGGAUUUCCAAUGUAGUACUGGUAAAGAAGGCCAACGGGAAAUGGAGAAUGCGUGUGGAUUUCACAGACCUUAAUAAGGCAUGCCCGAAGGACAGUUUUCCCCUACCAAAAAUAGAUCAAUUGGUGGACUCAACAGCGGGUCACAGUCUGCUCAGCUUCAUGGAUGCCUUUUCGGGAUACAACCAGAUACCCAUAGACGAGCAGGAUGAGGAAAGCACCACCUUUAUAACUAACAUGGGUUUGUUUUGCUACAGGGUAAUGCCUUUUGGCCUGAAAAAUGCCGGAGCUACCUAUUAAAGGUUGGUGAACAAGAUUUUCAAGCCAUUGAUCGGCCACACUAUGGAGGUAUAUGUGGACGAUAUGAUCACAAAGUCUAAAGAACCGAGGGAUCAUGUGAAGCACUUGGAAGAGACCUUUGAACUGCUGAGGAAGUAUGAAAUGAAGCUGAACCCGGAGAAAUGUGCAUUUGGGGUCAGCUCAGGCAAAUUUUUGGGAUUCCUGGUGAGCCACCGAGGGAUCGAGGCCAACCCGGAAAAGAUACGGGCGGUAACAGAAAUGAGGUCCCCACGAACAGUUAAGGAGGCGCAGAACCUUACAGGGAAAUUGGCAGCAUUGAACCGAUUCAUCUCACGGGCCACAGAUAAAUGCCACCCUUUCUUCCAAACCAUAAAGAAAGGGAGAAAGAUGGAGUGGACGUCAGAAUGUGAGGAGGCGUUCGGGCAGCUGAAGGAAUAUCUGGCCCGCGCCCCGUUACUAUCAACUCCAAGAGAAGGUGACCAGCUGUUUUUGUACUUAGCAAUCUCAAAAUGGGCUACCAGCUCGGUAUUAGUCAGAGAAGAAGAAGGAAAGCAACACCCCGUAUACUACACUAGCAAGGCCCUGGUAGACGCAGAAACCAGGUAUCCGCUGAUGGAGAAAUGGGCACUAGCUCUAAUAACAGCAGCACGCAAACUUCGACCAUAUUUUCAGGCCCACCCGAUAGUUGUGAUGACUGACCAGCCUCUUCGGCAAAUGCUCCAAAAACCAGAUGCAUCGGGUCGGUUAGUAAAGUGGUCCGUGGAGCUGAGCGAAUUCGACCUAUUCUAUAGGCUCCGAGGAGCAAUCAAAGCCCAAGCUCUGGCCGAUUUUAUGGUUGACCGUGUCGAGUCAGGGGAAGAAGUUCAGGAGGAGCAACUAGUGGAACAGGAGAAUCCGAAGGGGGUGUGGAUGGUAAUGGUUGAUGGGUCACGUAGUGAACAAGGAUCCGAAGCAGGAAUCGUAAUAUGAAGUCCAGAAGGGAUCGAGAUAUCCUAUGCAGUGAAGUUUGAAUUUCAGCUCACGAACAACCAAGCUGAAUACGAAGCCUUCAUCAUUGGGCUCGGGAUCGCACAUGCACUACGAGCAGAAAAUGUAGAAAUCCGAGCAGAUUCCCAAUUAGUCUGUAAUCAGCUCAGUGAUCAAUUCCAAGUAAGAGAAGAAAAGAUGGGGCUUUAUUUGAAGAAGGCAAAGCAAAUGGUCGGGCUCUUCCAAGAGGUAGAGAUAAAGCAGAUAUUCCGAAACGAGAAUUACCGAGCGGACAUGUUGGCCAGAAUGGCCGCAGUUGUGGAUCCAAAGUUAUCCAAGUCAGUUCCACCUGAUCCCUCUGCUCUUUGUCCCCCUGGUCGGACUCAGCCAUAUAUUUCUGCACUCCAGCCUCCAGCUUGCUCAUAUUAAGCACAAAUAUGAUGCACUUAUAGCAGAAAGUAACCCCAGAGUUAUACUCUGCAUCCAGCCGAUCAUCCACAUCAGCAAAUUUGCCUUUCACCUCGGCCAACUGCUCACUCAGAGAUUUGAUUUCUCCCUCAAGGGUCGUCUUCAAGGUAUCUCGCUCACUUUGGGUGGCCUGAAGAUCAGACUUCAGAUCACCUAACUCACCCUCGAGCUUGGUGGUGGUGGACUCAGCCAUGGCCACUUUCUCCUCCAGGUCCAUGAUUUGCUUGUGCAGAUCAAGCAACUUUUCCUUCGAGCAGUCAGCAGACUCAACAUUUUUCUUCAAGUCCUGGUUGUCAUCUUGAAGCUUCCUCUCAUGGCGCAUGGACCUAUUCUUGUAGCACGAAACCAGGGUGGCUAGCUUAAAGGAGACCAUUUAAACGGAACCAGCUAACUCGGCGAGGUUCAUACUCUCGAUGUCCUUCACCAUCUUGGGUCCCACCGAUUUACCGUAAUCCCUCUGGUACGGGCUCAGGUAAUCACCUUGAUCCCGAGAUGGAAGAGGAAAGGAUCGGUUCCCGGACUGAAUGCUGACCUCAUGACUCUUAUCACUCACCUUCUCCCCACCAUUUUUCCGAGGUGGAGGAGGGGGCAGAGCGGGAACAUAAGCCUUGGGUGAACCAGUAUGGGCCUUUUUCGGAGGAGGAGGAAGGUUGUUGGAGCUGCUUGUACCCCAACCACGCUUUUUGGUCAUGGCGCUGAGGAUCUUGUUAUCCAUUCCGGCAGCUACGUCCACUAAACGCAAACCGACCAGAUUUGUUGAUGACAAGAGAUCUUGGCAGGUAGACGCGUUCACCAAAGCAGUCUCCACAUGGAGCAAGGGUCUGUCUUCAAGCUCCUUGAUCAAACCCCACGACUCUGAAAGAGCAAACAAGGUUAAAGAACCCAAUAAGUGACGAUUGGAGAAAAGAAAAUAGGCAAUAAAUAAACGACCUGGGGUGACAAAGCGCGUUGGAAGGUGAAUAUCACCACCAAGCGAAUGGGCUGCUGGACACCAAUUUCCUCCAGCAAAUAAGAAUUUUUUCUUCCAAUUUUUACAUGAGGAAAUAAAUCUGGUGAUCGGCUUCCUCUUUGCAGAGCUUGACAUGAAGUAGUACUAGCCUGCUUCUUUUGGGCUACUCCGCAGCUGGUACAAAUGCUUUACCUCAACAAGGGAGGGUUCCUCUGAUCCGCACCUCUCCCAUAGCACAUACAUAGCUGAGAGAACUCUCCACCCAUUUGGGUGUAGCUGACCUGGAGCCAGGUGCAUACCACCCAAUAUCUUGGCAAAAUAACGCUGAAGGGGCAACCGAGCUCCUAAUUUGAAACUCUCCAGAUGCAUCGUCACAUACCCCCUCGGAGGUCGGCUAGGAACGUCAUCUUUCCCGGGGAUUACAAGGAGAACCUCUUCAGGUAUGUUAUAGAGGGUUCUAAGCUUGAGCAGGUCAGUUGGGGUGGUAGCACAAGCUAUAUAGUCGAUAGGGUAAGAAUCUGCCUCCACUCUAUGGCAAAGGUUUCUCUACUUAGGGGGUCUGCUCGGCUCAGAACUGCUCCCCUCACCAUCACCCACUUCUUCAAGGACCCCAGCCCCACCAGAACUAUGGUUCUCACCAGAGCCCGAUGCGGGUCCACCUCGGUUUCCUACAAGCUCUAAUUCAGGGGAAGGAGAAGUGACCAUAGGACGAGGGUAUUCAGGAGUAUCCCUGUAAUAGGAGGGACCUACAUUGCGAGAAGCGUAUAGAGGAUCACUGGGUCCAAACAGAUGGGGAUAGGAAUCCUCUAUCUCUUCAUCACUCUCAUCUACAAUUAUUUUUCCCUUCCGGUUUGACAUAUUGAAGUUUAAAAAGGGAAAGCACAAAAUAUCCAAAUGUAUGGGUACAAAAAAGGGACAAAUACAGAACCCACAAUACAAAACCCAAUCAACAACAACCAGAGAAGGGGUUAAAGGCUAUACCUGGAAUAGGCUGGCACGGAUAGCGCUGUCGUGACAAAGAAAGAACCCAGCAAGUGGAGGCUCCGGAUGCGGGAAGUGUGAGCAAAGUUCAAAGAAGGAGUUGGCUUACGGAGGAGAGACGAAUAAUAAAACGAUGAUGAUUCAGUCUAGGGAUUUGAAACGAAAAGGGGAAAAUGGAAGCGGGAUGCCAGCUCACUCACCAUAUAUCGAGGAUGGAUAGCCUGUCGUUUUAAAUUUCAAAUACGAAGAGUCGGGAAGCGCCACGUCACUAACCGUCAUAAGAGGCCUGACGAGACGUACGCCCAAGUAUAUACUAGAUAUAUUCAUGAAGGCCCAUACUCGGGCCAAAAUCUCCUUAGACAAGAAAUGGAACCUCCGAUCCACCACAAUAAUGCGAGGACCAGAUGGGUAGUUCCCAGGAUCGGUAAAAUCCGAUUAUCAGUUUCUACUCUCAACUCAUUUCACUCGCAAGACCAGAAACUAGGGGACUGGUGUUAAGUAAAUAAGGGCACCAGCUCAGCCAUGCCAUCAUCCCCACCCCGGGGUGGAUCACCUCAGCCGAAUGGUACGAGCAGAAUACUGAUAAUGAGCCUUCUACAAACAUGGGCCGACCAGAGACAUAUACCGAGCAGAUACCCAUUCCCCAAAAAACGGGAACACAAUCUCACGAAAUCACGACAGUUGCGCUUUUCCCAGAACCAUUGAGGGAGACACGGUGUCCCACGUUUACCCACAAUGUAGCAGUUGGAGUCCCAUGAGGGGCUGCCACUACCCGAGAAAGGGGGGAUGAAGGGUGAACGAAAACGUGGGACAACGGCUAUAAAAGAGGAAGAAACCAAUGAAGAGGAGGAGAAAAAACAGAGAGAGAAGGGAAAACUCUGCCAAAUUAAAACUAGACUGUUGUUCUGCAGAAACUGAGAGUGAGUCGUAAGCCAUUCCGAAAUCUAAAUUGAACCGUUUUCCUGUAAACACCUUGUGCUAACUUAGGCAUCGGAGGGUUUACGCCGGUAAAACUACCGGCGUCUCUGAUCCAUUUUUGUGAACGCAAGCUUAGCAAGAUAAAAAAGGGUGAUUCCAACCCAGUGACGUAAGCGAUCGUUAAGGCAAGGAGAAAGUGAUAUCGUUCCCAUUAAGCAUAUAAGCGUUGGUGGAAGAAUCUGGUCGGGUAAAGGGCGAGCAGAUUUCAGCAUCAACAGGGGAAAAAGUCUAAAUAGUAUUUUUGACCUCCUACUUUAACUAAAUAACAUUUCUUGAAAGUCACUGGCUCUUAAAAUUUAAUUAAGAAGAUAUUAUAGAUUUAUAAACCCUUAAAAUUUAUUUGCAAGUAACAAUUAGAGAAAAGUCGUCAUGCCCAUACGACUUACUAAAAGUCGUCAACUCGUCAUGACCAAAAUUCUUCCGAGUGUGAAAUACGGCAUUAUGCAGAUGCAUUAAAAACAAAAGCCAGCUAAGAUAUUCUUUGUAUACUUGCAUUCCCUAUCAUCUUAUUAAUAAUUUCAGACACGUCGUUCGUUCCCUGUGACUUUUCAUAUGAAAAAGCACAGUCAGUGUUACAAUUUACAUUUCGAAUUGGGUGUCAUCUAUAUACUCUAGCUAGAUCUAACAUGAUAUUGCAGUAUUGCACUGAUUUUUUUGUCGCAGAGUUUCUCUAUGAAUGCCUAAAAGUUAAAGACACGUCAUGGAAUAAUUAUUUUCUUAAAGACCAAAUUAACAUAAUUCUUGACUCAUUUAUAAAACAACAUUUAUCAUAUAACAGCUCAUAUAUGAAUCAAUUACCUUGAGCAGUAGCAAACAAACAAGAAUCUCAACCACAUCACGAGAUCGCCCACGUACUGUUAUCCAAAACAACAUUGUUAUAAUUAUCAUAAUCCCUUCUGACCUUAACAAUAAUUCUAUUCGUCCUUUCAUAGGUAUAAGUAUCCCAAAAUAUACCUGAUGUCAACCUUUACAAUUCUUUAGAGAAUUGCAGCAGACCAAAAGAAAGAUUUUAAUAAUUUGUAUGCAAAACUGAAAUCAUACAGUAAUUGAUACAGUGAGAAUAGACAUGCUGGGAAUUAGUAUAUAUGAAUAUCUUAAUAAUUUAAAAGUUUCUUAAACUGAUUUUACAUAUCUGAAAAAUUAUAGAAAUCGGAACAGCUGCAGAAAUCAUAAUUUUCCAGCGAAUGUGUUACAAAUUCGGAAAUUCAUAAGUAAUUAAAUUCUUGGGAUCACAUAAUAAUUCAAUAGAAAGCUUAAGAUGUCUAGUUUAUAAAAUGAGAUGUAUGGAAUUUUUUUUUUUCAAUGAUAUGUAUGGAAUUUAAGAGAUUCAGCAGUACUUUCAUUAUAUUAAUUCUUCAAAAAAUCAUGUUGCAAACAAUCACCAAUCUAACAUUCAACAAAAUUAAGUCGUAAAAAUCAUGUGGUUUAUUAAAAGAAUUACCUCAAACAGAUUAGCCUUCCCCUUUCAAAAGCAGCGUGAAACUCCAAAAACUCUUCUUCCAUAACCCAUUCAAACAUGAAGAAACAAAUUAGUAUCUCUUCUUUAAAUGCGCGAUGUGUGUGCCCUGUUUUCUCUCUUAUUCUUUUUCUUUUUUAGAUUUUGAAAAUGCAAAGAAUGCAGGAGUCCUUAUUUUCUUAAACAAGACUCAAUUAAAUUAAAUUAUGGCCUAAUGCUGUGUCAAUUCCAUCAUCAGUAUUUUUUUUUUCCUUGUAACAUAAUCCAUAUUUGGACAAUUUGAA